AUUGAACGCUGGCGGCAUGCUUUACACAUGCAAGUCGAACGGGGUGAGGGGGCAACCUCUCAUCUAGUGGCGAACGGGUGAGUAAUGCAUCGGAACGUGCCCAGUCGUGGGGGAUAACGUAGCGAAAGCUACGCUAAUACCGCAUACGAACUCUGGUUGAAAGCGGGGGACUCGCAAGGGCCUCGCGCGAUUGGAGCGGCCGAUGGCAGAUUAGGUAGUUGGUGGGGAAAGGCCUACCAAGCCGACGAUCUGUAGCUGGUCUGAGAGGACGACCAGCCACACUGGGACUGAGACACGGCCCAGACUCCUACGGGAGGCAGCAGUGGGGAAUUUUGGACAAU
rnacentral:rRNA from 1 species